rnacentral:rRNA from 1 species
CGGGGGCCCGCACAAGCGGUGGAGCAUGUGGUUUAAUUCGACGCAACGCGCAGAACCUUACCAGCCCUUGACAUGUCCAGGACCGGUCGCAGAGAUGUGACCUUCUCUUCGGAGCCUGGAGCACAGGUGCUGCAUGGCUGCCGUCAGCUCGUGUCGUGAGAUGUUGGGUUAAGUCCCGCAACGAGCGCAACCCCCGUCCUUAGUUGCUACCAUUUAGUUGAGCACUCUAAGGAGACUGCCGGUGAUAAGCCGCGAGGAAGGUGGGGAUGACGUCAAGUCCUCAUGGCCCUUACGGGCUGGGCUACACACGUGCUACAAUGGCGGUGACAAUGGGAUGCAAAGGGGCGACCC